GAGGACGACCAGCCACACUGGAACUGAGACACGGUCCAGACUCCUACGGGAGGCAGCAGUGGGGAAUUUUGGACAAUGGGGGCAACCCUGAUCCAGCCAUGCCGCGUGAGUGAAGAAGGCCUUCGGGUUGUAAAGCUCUUUCAGCCGGAAAGAAAACGCACGGGUCAAUAACCUGUGUGGAUGACGGUACCGGAAGAAGAAGCACCGGCUAACUACGUGCCAGCAGCCGCGGUAAUACGUAGGGUGCGAGCGUUAAUCGGAAUUACUGGGCGUAAAGCGUGCGCAGGCGGUUUUGUAAGACAGAUGUGAAAUCCCCGGGCUUAACUUGGGAACUGCAUUUGUGACUGCAAGACUAGAGUGCGGCAGAGGGGGGUAGAAUUCCACGUGUAGCAGUGAAAUGCGUAGAUAUGUGGAGGAAUACCGAUGGCGAAGGCAGCCCCCUGGGUCGACACUGACGCUCAUGCACGAAAGCGUGGGGAGUAAACAGGAUUAGAUACCCUGGUAGUCCACGCCCUAAACGAUGUCAACUAGUGUUGGGGGAGGAGACUUCCUUAGUACCGCAGCUAACGCGUGAAGUUGACCGCCUGGGGAGUA
rnacentral:rRNA from 1 species